rnacentral:rRNA from 1 species
AUAGCGUAUAUUAAAGUUGUUGCGGUUAAAAAGCUCGUAGUUGGAUCUCAGUUCGCGUCAGGCGGUCCACUUGCCAGUGGCUACUGCCUGGCUGAACACAUUACCGAGCUGUCCCAUGGUGCUCUUCGCCGAGUGUCAUGGGCGAUCGGUACGUUUACUUUGAAAAAAUUAGAGUGCUCAAAGCAGGCGUUAAUUCGCCCGAAUAAUGUUGCAUGGAAUAAUGGAAUAGGACCUCGGUUCUAUUUUGUUGGUCUUCGGAACCUGAGGUAAUGAUCAAGAGGGACAGACGGGGGCAUUCGUAUUGCGGCGCUAGAGGUGAAAUUCUUGGACCGUCGCAAGACGAA